rnacentral:ncRNA from 2 species
AGUAUCUGCCGCGUCGAUGGUUCGCCGGGCGCUCAACCCGGCGAGGCAAGAGGGAACCCGGUGCGAAUCCGGGACUGCCCCGCAGCGGUGAGUGGGAACGACCGCCGUCAGACAGCACUGGGCGUGAGCCUGGGAAGCGACGGCCAGUAGGUCCGGGUACGCCCGGCCGCCCACGAGUCCGAAGACCUGCCAUCGGUGUGCGCGCCAC